GUUGUGUCAGUGCAGGUAGGGGAUUGAGCUCAAGCUAGCUCGAAUAAAGGCUCUUUUGCUUUUGCAUCGGACUCAGCUCCCUAGUGGUCUUUGGGGAUCACGAAUUCUGGGCAUAACAACAGAACCUUGUCUGGAUCACCUGGUGGAAGAACCAAGUGGCACUCGGAGAUCUUGGAAGGCAGGAGAAGGUUUAUUUCACACCGGCAGGCUCAGAGGAGAACACUCUCCAGAGACUUUAAUUUUAAGUAAUGUUUACACUCGUUGUUGGGCUUGAACCUACCUACAAUCCUGAGAUCAAGCGUCACAUGCUCUACCAACUGAGCCAACCAGGUACCCCAGGGGGAGACAGAGCAUGAACGGGGGAGGGUCAGAGAGAGAGGGAGAC